rnacentral:misc_RNA from 1 species
AAAGAUAUAGCAUAUUCUUCUGAAUAUACUUUAUUAACCCAUUCCGAGUACCUUACCCGUUGCUUCCGCGAGGCUGUCCUCACGGCCCUCUGAAGAUUUAUCUUUGGGAGUCCUUGCGGAAGGUAUACAAUAAACUCUUGCAUUACCAUGUCAUCUUGUCUGAAUCUGUUUAAAACAAAUAUUA